rnacentral:rRNA from 1 species
GAUGAACGCUGGCGGCGUGCCUAAUACAUGCAAGUCGAGCGAAUGGAUUAAGAGCUUGCUCUUAUGAAGUUAGCGGCGGACGGGUGAGUAACACGUGGGUAACCUGCCCAUAAGACUGGGAUAACUACGGGAAACCGGGGCUAAUACCGGAUAACAUUUUGAACCGCAUGGUUCGAAAUUGAACGGCGGCUUCGGCUGUCACUUAUGGAUGGACCCGCGUCGCAUUAGUUAGUUGGUGAGGUAACGGCUCACCAAGGCAACGAUGCGUAGCCGACCUGAGAGGGUGAUCGGCCACACUGGGACUGAGACACGGCCCAGACUCCUACGGGAGGCAGCAGUAGGGAAUCUUCCGCAAUGGACGAAAGUCUGACGGAGCAACGCCGCGUGAGUGAUGAAGGCUUUCGGGUCGUAAAACUCUGUUGUUAGGGAAGAACAAGUGCUAGUUGAAUAAGCUGGCACCUUGACGGUACCUAACCAGAAAGCCACGGCUAACUACGUGCCAGCCGCCGCAGUAA